rnacentral:piRNA from 1 species
UUGUCCUUUCAUGGGAGAACU